GGCCCUUGCCCGGCCCUGGAAAAGACUCAGGAUGCAGAGAGUAUUCUGGCAUUGAGUGAGGGGCGGGUUUAGCAUCCUCUCAGCUCAGACCCUGGGAUUCUCAGCUUCUACCCAAACACGGAAUCUCCUACCAGUGGCCACUCCCCCAGGGGUGGAGACCACACUCCUGGAGUGGGCGUGGGCCAGAGAGCAGCCGGCAGCCUGGACGGACUCAGGGCUGGGCUCUGAGCCCUUCCGUCACCGUCACCGGGAGAAAGCUGGAGGUCUCCAGUAUCCUGGGACCCCACUCCCCCACCCUCACAGGCACUGUGCUUCUCAGGGUGCUGAGAACCUUCCCCACGGAUUCUCUUGGGUGAAACUCACAGUGGCCUGGGAAGAAACGCUCAUGGGGAGACUGAGCUAGCUUCACAGAUGGAGUUAAGUGGGGAGAGGGAGGUAAAUGCAAAAGCUCUUUGCAAACCUAACUGCAUUUGGUAAAUUGAAAAAGGGCUUUCUAAACUGUCUGUGGGGCACAUAAUAAAGUUCUUUGUGUGGAGC
rnacentral:antisense_RNA from 1 species